UACAGAGGGUGCAAGCGUUAAUCGGAAUGACUGGGCGUAAAGGGCAUGUAGGUGGUUAUUUAAGUUGAGUGUAAAAUUUCCGGGCUUAACCUGGGAGCUGCACUCGAAACUGGAGGACUAGAGUCUGGGAGGGGGAAGUGGAAUUUCCGGUGUAGCGGUGAAAUGCGUAGAUAUCGGAAAGAACAUCGAUGGCGAAGGCAGCUUUCUGGCCUAAGACUGACACUGAGGUGCGAAAGCGUGGGGAGCAAACAGG
rnacentral:rRNA from 1 species